rnacentral:lncRNA from 1 species
UCCAUCUCCACCCCUGGAAAAGUGGCUCGGUGAGGGCGAGGACAGUAUUUGGUCACUGCUGAGCCCCUGGCCCUCUGCUGGCCCACCGCAGGUCCCAGAAAAUACUAAGUGAUGAAUGAAGCAAAGAUUUUGUGUCCCCUGUGGGGACAAGAGGCAGCGAGGGGAUGUGGUUUGAAGACCCAAAUGGUGGAAUUAAGGAAGCAACAGUAGGGGAACAUGCUUGAAACAGGUCAACCAGGGGUGGGGGGCACCUUGGAUGUGUGGUGUCUGGUCUGGCACAACGUCCUGGACAUUUUUGGCUUUUCAAGGUUCUUUCCUUGCUCCCUGAGGCAAGGACAAUGGGUGUUAGCUUCUGGCCCUCCGUCUCCCAGCACGAGCCCGGGCCUGUGUGUGGUGCUAAAAGGCUCUUGAUUAAGAACCAGGGUGCACAACCCAAAUUUGGGGACCUCUUCUCUCAUCGAGAACUUGCACCAAAUUUCAUUCCAAAGCAGGCCCCUCCCUGCCCAGGGCCCUCCCGGCUCCCUCGGAGGCUCUAGAUGAGAUACACCCUCUACCCUUUGGAAUUGCCUUCCUUCCUGGUCUUUAAAGUGAGGCUCUCAACUCACCUCUUCAAGGAGUGAACUCCAGACCUGCUUGCCCCGGGGCCCCUGUGCAUACCCUCCUGACCCCAUGACCCCGGCUCUCCCCCUCUCCACGCCCCCCCCCCCCAGCUUUGUGCCAGACUCGUUUGUUGGGUGUACUUGUGCGAAGAGGAGCCGAGGGCUGGGAGGCAGAGCUGGGUUUGAAUCUCAUGCCAACACUUGCAGCUGUGUGACCUUGAGCAGGUGAGUGCAUGUCUCUGAGCUUCCUCAUUGGUAAAAUGAGAGAGCAACACCCACCUAGCAGGAGGAUUUAUUGAGACUAUGCAUGCCAGGUUGCAGGCAUUGUGCAUGGUGCUCCUUCCCAUCCCUCAGGACUCCUCAUACGUCACCUCUGCUCAUACAUCACCUCUGGGAGUCCUCCCUGACCCGUCACAAGCCAUGCCUCGCCUGCCAUACCUGGCCUCAUUGUCCUUCAAGCCCUUACACAUCUCUCAAUGUGCUUGUUUGUCGUCUGUCUCCCUUUCUCAAAUGUCAGGUCUCCGAGAGUAGGGGUUUUGUCUAUCUCGUUCAUUUCUGAAUCCCAGGGACCUGGAAGAGGGCCCAGCAUACACUGACUGACUGAAUGGCGGGUAUGUACCUAGUAGGCGCUGUAUAAAUGGAAGCUAUUGUUAUUCCCGUGCAUCUCUGUCUUCUCUGCUUGCAUCUGGUUGGUUGGCCGAGCUCACCUUCAUGCCCGGGGCAGUCCCAGCUCGAAUCACCUGCCAAACUGCAGUAAUGGGGUCACUGUCCUGCCUGGGCUCCUGUGUGCCCUGCCCCAGGCAGGGGAGGCUGUGCACCCUGGAGGCCACCUCAGCAGCCCGCCCUUCCAGGCAGAGGCCAGUGGGUCUGCCUGCUCCACCUCUUCCAGGUAAACAGCCAACGCCAGACACGUGGAGCAUCCCCACAACCCUUGUCAGGGUCAAAGAAAUCCGGACAAGACUAGUAGGGCUACCUGCCAUGGCAGAGGCCCAGGCUCUCAUCCCAGCUCUGCCUCCAAUUUGCUGUGGGUUCUCAGCAUUAUUCACAAUAGCCAAGACGUGGAAGCAACCCAAGUGCCCAGCAACAGAUGAAUGGAUAAAGAAGAUGUGGUAUAUAUAUACAAUGGAAUACUACUCAGCCAUAAAAAAGACAAAAUCAUCCCAUUUGCAACAACAUGGAUGGACCUUGAGGGUAUUAUGCUAAGCAAAAUAAGCCAGACAGAGAAAGACAAAUACCAGAUGAUUUCACUCAUAUGUGGAAUAUAAACAAAC